AAUGGACCUGAGUAGGAAGGUGUGUGUGGAAGAAGGUUCCAGAAGACCUUGCGAUGGUCCUUGUGAAGGUCUGUGAGGGGGUGAGCUUGCUGGAGGAGUAAAAAGAGUGAAAGG
rnacentral:lncRNA from 1 species